rnacentral:rRNA from 1 species
GAUGAACGCUGGCGGCGUGCUUAACACAUGCAAGUCGAACGGUGAAGGCGGAGCUUGCUCUGCUGGAUCAGUGGCGAACGGGUGAGUAACACGUGAGCAAUCUGCCCCUGACUCUGGGAUAAGCGCUGGAAACGGCGUCUAAUACUGGAUACGAGCUGCGAAGGCAUCUUCAGCAGCUGGAAAGAACUUCGGUCAGGGAUGAGCUCGCGGCCUAUCAGCUUGUUGGUGGGGUAACGGCUCACCAAGGCGUCGACGGGUAGCCGGCCUGAGAGGGUGACCGGCCACACUGGGACUGAGACACGGCCCAGACUCCUACGGGAGGCAGCAGUGGGGAAUAUUGCACAAUGGGCGAAAGCCUGAUGCAGCAACGCCGCGUGAGGGACGACGGCCUUCGGGUUGUAAACCUCUUUUAGCAGGGAAGAAGCGAAAGUGACGGUACCUGCAGAAAAAGCGCCGGCUAACUACGUG